AGCCAGGUGGAUUCAAGACGUUUGAACCAAGAAGAAAUGCUUUCUUGGCCUAUUCCUGCAUUCUCUUGUGCAGCCAGCAGCAGCCUCUGCUUUAUACAAAGGCAACUGUGGAACAGCCCAGGCAGGUCUUUCAGGAGGGAUUCCAGAAGAAGAGAUUGUUACCACAAGAGAUGACAGCUCCCCUGAAAACCUUCCAGUGCGGCAAGAUGUGGGGGCAGAAGAUACUGAUAUUGAUGAUCCUGACACUGUGUAGAACUAGGAUGUGUGUGUUUGUGUCUUAAGGUUUUUAACGAUGUUUUAAAAGGUUAAAAAAAAAAGUAAAUAAUUAUAAAAAUAUUAAAAAGCUUAUAGAAUAAGGAUACUGUAUAGCUGUACAAUAUGUUUUUUAAGCUAAGUAUUACUACAAAGGGACCAAAAGGUUAAAAAAGCUUUUUUGGUUUGUAUAAUAAAAAAUUUAUAGUAAGGCCGGGCAUGGUGGCUGAUGCCUAUAAUCCCAGCACAUUGGGAAGCUGAGGCGCGAGGAUUGCUUUUCAGGUCAGGAGUUCAAGACCAGCCUGGGCAACAUUGGGAGACCUUGUAUCUACAAAAAAUACAAACAUUAGCCAUGCGUGGUGGCACACGCCUGUGGUCCCAGCUACUCCAGAGGCUGAAGUGGGAGGAUCACUUGAACCUGAGAGUUAGAGGCUGUAAUGAGCUAUAAUUGCACC
rnacentral:lncRNA from 1 species